GCCUUCGGGCAUUUGGUCAAUUUGAAACGAUACAGAGAAGAUGUAAGUUCCACUCUCAAGGUCUUAGGUUCGAGUCACGCAACAGUCACUAAUACCCUCACAGUAGCAUGGCCCCUGCACUAAGGAUGACACGCUCAAUCAAAGAGAAGCUACCAAUUUUU
rnacentral:snRNA from 1 species